rnacentral:rRNA from 1 species
AUUGAACGCUGGCGGCAGGCCAACACAUGCCAGUCGGGCGGAUGAAGGGAGCUUUCUCCUGGAUUCAGCGGCGGACGGGUGAGGAAUGCCUUGGAAUCUGCCUGGUUGUGGGGGGUAAAGUCCGGGAACGGGCGGUAAUACCGCAUUAGUCCUGGGGGAGAAAGUUGGGGGUCUUCGGACCUCACGCCAUCCAGUGAGCCUAGGUCGGAUUAGCUAGUUGGUGGGGUAAAGGCCUACCAAGGCGACGAUCCGUAACUGGUCUGAGAGGAUGAUCAGUCACACUGGAACUGAGUCACGGUCCAGACUCCUACGGGAGGCAGCAGUGGGGAAUAUUGGACAAUGGGCGAAAGCCUGAUCCAGCCAUGCCGCGUGUGUGAAGAAGGUCUUCGGAUUGUAAAGCACUUUAAGUUGGGAGGAAGGGCAGUAAGUUAAUACCUUGCUGUUUUGACGUUACCAACAGAAUAAGCACCGGCUAACUUCGUG